rnacentral:rRNA from 1 species
UACGGAGGGGGCUAGCGUUGCUCGGAAUUACUGGGCGUAAAGGGAGCGUAGGCGGACAUUUAAGUCAGAGGUGAAAUCCCGGAGCUUAACUUCGGAACUGCCUUUGAUACUGGAUGUCUUGAGUGUGAGAGAGGUAUGUGGAACUCCGAGUGUAGAGGUGAAAUUCGUAGAUAUUCGGAAGAACACCAGUGGCGAAGGCGACAUACUGGCUCAUUACUGACGCUGAGGCUCGAAAGCGUGGGGAGCAAACAGG